rnacentral:lncRNA from 10 species
CUGGGGAGAGCUGUGCAGAAUAGGACUGGAGGUGGAAGUGUUGGAGAUUAACAGCCAGGUGGAGGGGACGGGGGAGGCCCUGGGUCAGUCCUCAGGGAACCCCCAUUGUGAAGGGGGAAAGGGAAACUCAGGCCCAGUCCUCAGGGGCCCCCAGUCUGAGAGGAAGGAGGACACACGAGCCAUAUUUGCAGAGAAACACCAGCCUGCGAGAGGAGGGCUUGACCCUGGGGACUGAGAGGUGGAGAAGACACAGUCCCAUCUGUCUCACGGCAGAGACAGGUAAGCAGCAGGUGACUUAGGACACACCAGAUAGGCUGGAAGGAAUACAGACGGGGCUAUCCCAAGCUGGAGGGGUACAAGGGUCUUCCGUUAGAGGUGACGUGGGAACUGAGUUUUCCAAAACGAGCAGGGGGAUGGGGCACCGGGGCAUUUGAAGCUUGAUGGGAUUGUGAGAAAACCUGGGAACUGCGAGUGACUUGCAGAGGGCUGCGGAAGUGGGCAGGGAUAGACCAUGAAGGGCUUUGUCAGCCAGGCCAAGGAGUUCUGACUUUAACCCGAGGGCCUGAGGAGCCUGCAAAGGGUUCUAAACAAAGAGAAGAGCAACAGGGUCAACCUGAGGUCCCUGAGGCCCCAGGGCAUCCAGCAGGCAGAGGCGCAGUUGGGCCUGGGCUGGGGAGAGGAGUCUAGCUGGAGAAAGAGAAGAGGAGAUAUCAGCCCCUGGACAUUCAGCACUAGAGUUGCUGGGGCUGCCCAAGAAGCACAGGGAGUGAGGCAAGGGCCAGGGCCAGGAUUCUGGGGAAGAAGGAUGACGAAGAAGGAGUGGGUGUGGAAGGAGCUGGAAACCCAGACACAGGGCUGCCCAGAGGCUGAUGGGAGCCAGUAGGGGGCUGUUGCCCCAGAGUUGGGUGCUGGGAGGGGCUGGCCAGGCAGGUGUUUGCAGACAGCUGCCUGGAUGAGCUGGUGGGGAUAGAGGGUGGCAACAGCACUGAAGAAGCAGAGGCUGAGGAGGCAGAAAGUUCAACUGCAGAGAGAAGAGAGGCAGCUAAAGGGGCCACCAAGGUGGGAGUUUGGGUCAGAGCUGUGAAGCAUGUUAGUCUGCACAGAGCCUGCGGCGGG